rnacentral:rRNA from 1 species
UACGGAAGGCAGCAGUGGGGAAUAUUGCACAAUGGGCGAAAGCCUGAUGCAGCUAUGCCGCGUGUAUGAAGAAGGCCUUAGGGUUGUAAAGUACUUUCAUCGGGGAGGAAAAAACAAAACUAAUAAUUUUAUUUCUUGACGUUACCCGAAAAAGAAGCACCGGCUAACUCCGUGCCAGCAGCCGCGGUAAUACGGAGGGUGCUAGCGUUAAUCAGAAUUACUGGGCGUAAAGAGCACGUAGGUGGUUUUUUUAAGUCAGAUGUGAAAUCCCUGGGCUUAACCUAGGAACUGCAUUUUGAAACUGAAAUACUAGAGUAUCGUAGAGGGAGGUAGAAUUCUAGGUGUAGCGGUUGAAAUGCGUAGAUAUCUGGAGGAAUACCUGUGGCGAAAGCGGCCUCCUAAACGAAUACUGACACUGAGGUGCGAAAGCGUGGGGAGCAAACGAGGGAUUAGGAUACC